CUGCUUGCGUCGGGAGAUAGUGAACGACCGCGAGAGAGGGGGAAGUCAUUGCGGAGCCGUCACGCCGAGAGUCCCCCUCGUUCGAGGAGAGAACGGCGGGGAGUUGAGGACGGCGGCGGGUGGAGCAGGGUGGGGCGCGGAGGUGGUGGAGAAGGUUGGGAGCAGUGAACGGGUCUUACGCCUCCCUCCCUGCCCCUCGCCCACCUGGGAACUGGAGUCGGUCAGUUAUUGGGCAGUGAUGCAGAAAAAGGGGGAGGGAAAGGGCAAGGGGGUUCUACUGUGGCGGUGAACCCCGAAAAGCAACGGGCGGGGGGUGGAAAGAAAAACGGAGGCGGAGAAAGGAGGGGUGAGCGAGCAGGCCCUCCUCCCUUACGAAUGAGGAGAGGCAGAAAUGCUGCAUCUUUUCUUCGAUGGUAGGACGGGGUGAGGAGGAUUUCAGUUGAGGUCCUUACUCUUUGAUCGCUCUCAUCUGGGUUUGGCCCCCCCUCCUUCCCCUCUCUCUCUACCAGCGGCAGCCAGUGGCCGCCGUAAGAUCGAUCUCUCCGUCUACCCUUUUUACAUCCACACGGGAAUACUGUAGCUCGACUCUUCUCUCUCUCCUUGCCUCCUUUCCCCCGGCCUCUUUCUCUUUUCUGUCUUCUUUCCCCCCCAUUCGUCCUUUUCACAGCUGCUCGCAGCUGCGACCGGAAGUUCGAGGGAUAACAGGGGAGGGAAAAGAGUAGGCGGAGGAGAAAAGUCGGGGGAAGGGGGGAGCUGCUUUCUGUUCCUCCUCUUCCUCCUCUCACCACUACCCACUCGCCAUGGACGCGUACGAGGCCACAAGAAUAGUGCUCUCAAGGAUCCAGAGCUUGGACCCGGAGAAUGCCUCCAAGAUCAUGGGUCUCCUCCUCAUCCAGGACCAUGGCGAGAAGGAGAUGAUACGACUCGCCUUCGGCCCCGAAGCCCUCCUUCACUCGGUCGUCUUCAAAGCUCGGAAGGACCUCGGUCUCCUCCCGCCCUCCGCCCCAUCUACUCCGUCCUCCCCAUCUCCUUCCCCGUUUCUCCUCGCCCGUCAGAACUCCUCUUCUCGCCUCCUCGGCGGUGGCGGCGGCGGCGGUGGCAGCGGGCUACCCUCACCGUCCUCGUGGGCUCCGCCACCAGUCUUCUCCCGCAGCAGUAGCAACGGGAACAACGGGGUCGUCGAGGACUUGCAGAGCACGGACGACCUAAUCAUCCCCAAUUCGUCCUACGGCGUGAGUAUGCCCGUGCCCUCGCCGUCGUCCUCUUCUUCCCCUUCCCCCUUCUUCGGAGGCGAUCUCAUCGAGGAGUUCCAGCUCCAAGACCAGUUCUCCUUCCUCAACGACCCCACCGCUGCCGCCUCGUCCCCCAACUCUAUCCACGCCCUCCAGAUCGGCGGCCCAAAGAGCAACGGCGACCUUUUCUAUCCCGACAUGGUCGGGGACUGCCGGGGCCCUAGCAGCAACGGCGAAGCCAUGCUCUUCCCCUACGCCGGUAUGAACUGGGGCAUCAAUAGCAGCCACCACCGGAGGAGCCUCUCCGCCGCAGAGCGGUGCUUAAGCUCAGAAGCCGGGGCAGAUUUGGGUUGGAGGCCAUGCCUGUACUUCGCCAGGGGCUACUGCAAGAACGGGAGCACCUGCAGGUUCCUGCACGGUAUGCCCGAAGACGCGACCGCCGCCGCCGCCGCCCUGGCCAGCAGCAAGAUGGAUGCCGCGAUGGAGCAGCAGUUCCACGAACUUCUGUUGAGGUCCAAGAGCCCAAGACUCGGCGCCGCAUCUCAGCUCAUGGCGGCGGCGGCGGCCUCCUUUCCCUAUUCGCCGUCUGCCCCGUCGCCAUCAUCUGGCAAAUGCAUGAACUUUCUGCAGCAGCAGCAGAAUGAAAGCCAAAGGUCGCCUACCCUCCCUCAUUCACUACCCUCCUCGUCGUCCUUGCGCCGGAAUAUUAAUAUAUCGUCACGGGUUCUCUUCGGCAGGGUUGCUGCAGUGACGGCGGCGGCGGCGGCGGCUCUCUCGCUAGGAGGGGAGGAGCCGCACAAGUUUGGGAGAUCUAGGCUGGAGAGGGGUGACUACGCAGGGGCUGUGAAUCCGGGUUCUCGGCAGAUUUACUUGACCUUCCCGGCCGACAGCACUUUCAGAGAGGAGGACGUCGCCAACUACUUCAGGUUUGGGCUCUCGAUCAGAGGCUCUUUCCCUUCUGACGGAACGGAUCUUCCUUCUCCCUGCUCAUCAUCUCUGUUCCUGUUGUUCGUUGCCGCCGUGAAGCAUCUACGGGCCAGUCCAGGACGUGAGGAUUCCGUACCAGCAGAAGCGGAUGUUUGGAUUUGUGACUUUCGUUUACCCGGAGACGGUGAAGCUGAUUCUGGCCAAGGGGAACCCCCACUUUGUCUGCGAUGCUCGCGUCCUCGUCAAGCCCUACAAGGAGAAGGGAAAAGUCCCCGACAAGUACAGGCACUCCUACCUCCUCCAUACAUUCCACCCUCUCGCUUCCUCCCAGAACUACUCCUCUCCCCCCCCUCUCUCUCUCUCUCUCUCUCUCUCUCUCUCUCUCUCUCUACUGUGUUCCAGUGAUUAAGCUGAUUACUGUUUUUCUUGCGCAGGAAGCUACAGCAGCAACAGCAGCAGCAGCAGCAGCAGCAGCACGCAGAGAGGGGCGUCUUCUCCGGCUGCACUACUCCUACUGGGCUAGAUUCCAAGGACCCUUACGACCUACAGCUGCUUGGUGAGCUCUCCGUCAUCUCCAUGGCCGUGGCUAUCCACAUGCAUUGUUAUUACCGUAUUUUCAACAUCGCGUGUCCAUCUUUUUACGUGAGUUGCAGGCGCGAGCAUGCUGUAUAACAGCAACCAGGAGGCGCUGCUGAGGAAGAAGCUGGAGGAGCAGCAGCAGGCGGCGGAGCUCCAGCAGGCAAUUGAGCUGCAGCGGCGGCGGAUCAUGGGGCUCCAGCUGCUCGACCUCAAGGCGAGGAAUCUUUCUUCGCCCGCCGUGCCCGUUACGUCGUCGCUGCCGUCUCCGGGUCCCAUCAACACCUACUCCGCCACCACCGCCGUCUCCAGUCCCAAUGCCAAUCUUUCAUCGCCCAAUGCGCCCCCGGAGGGCAGCAGCACCGGCAGCGGUAGCAGCGCCGAAGAGCUGCUGCCACCCCCUGAAGGUAUUACUGUAGCGAGGGGAGGAUCGUUUCAAUGAUCAUCUAAGCUCCCCCUCUUCGAUAGGAGGCUCUUAGUAAAUAGUAGGCUUGUUGUGAAAGUGAAAAGCUUUCCCUUUCGCGGGCAAGUGUCUCAAUCCUGCUGCCACCGCGGUUUAAUGCAGCAACCACCACUGUCGCUGGAUCGACCGGCGCUGCAGCCGCCGCUGCCGCUGCUGCUGCAACGGCUGAGAAGAUUAACACCCACGCGUUCCUCCCGCAUUCGGCAGUCAACGCCGGCGACGGAGCUGACAAGAAGGAUCCCGCUCGCGAUGGUCGCCAUGGCGACCUCCAAGAAAGGUAAAUUUAAGUACAAGCCGAAAAUUUUAUGCCAGGCCAGUUUUAAUCUCCGCUGCACCCUCUCUCGCCUUCCAUCGGUGGGCGUCUACUUUAAAUGCAGACGGGGCGAACGAGGGGGGAUGGGUAGUGUAAAGUCAGCGUCUUUGCUUCCUUCUGUUUUCGUCAACUCUUCGAGUUUACUUACUAAGAAUGGCCAUGGUAUGGUUGACCUCGGUUUCGGCGGCAGUGCGGACCACAACCUGCCGGACAGCCCUUUUGCGUCGCCCACCAAAUGUUCCUUCGCCGGGAGUGCGUUCUCCGUCAACUCCGAACCGGCGGAGGCGGCCUCCCCCGCCGCCGGCUCCCCUAACAAUAACGUCGACGGCUGCCUCAGCAACGGUAGCAAUAACAACGGCCACCUCCUCACCUCCUCGCUGCUGGCCCCAUCCUCCACCCUGGACAUGGCUUCCUUCAACUCCUGCUUCUUCCCCAUCCCCAGGUGAGUUAUCCUGCCCCCCCCCCUCUCUCUCUCUCUCUCUCUCUCUCUCUCUCUCUNNNNNNNNNNNNNNNNNNNNNNNNNNNNNNNNNNNNNNNNNNNNNNNNNNNNNNNNNNNNNNNNNNNNNNNNNNNNNNNNNNNNNNNNNNNNNNNNNNNNCAGUCCUUCCCGGAGGUAUUCUCUCAACGAAUAAGUAAUUGUUAGAGUGCAAUGUUGAUAUAAUUCGAAGAAACAAAAAGCAAGUCUAAGUCAAAAAAAAUUACGUACGUACUUUUAUUUCUUCUAAAAUUAAAUUAAACAAAUGGAUUCGCAAAUAAAAGUGCUAAUGCCACAACCAGUCCAUAAAUUGUUAAAGCUUCCAUAAAAGCCAGACUUAGCAAUAAAGUACCUCGUAUUUUACCCUCUGCUUCUGGCUGUCUCGCAAUACCUUCUACAGCUUGACCCGCAGCAGUACCUUGACCAACCCCAGGUCCAAUAGAAGCAAGCCCUACAGCCAAUCCAGCAGCAAUAACAGAAGCGGCAGAAAUCAGUGGAUUCAUGAUAAGCUAAGCUCCUCGCAAAAGAAAUGGUUAAUGAUACAAUCAAGGAAUUAAUCAUCAGAAAUACAUGGAAAUCUCGCUUUUUGUUCUUAUCCGUGAUAGAGUUUUAGAUAAAUCUAUAUGCACAUACCAUUAUAGUUAUUACAUUUCUUUAUUCUAAACCCAUUUAUCAUUCAAUUCGUCAUUCUUUACUCUUCCACUUCCUCUUGAGUUCAGAGUUCAUCUGUUUAGUUGUUCAAUCCACAAUCACAGACAAAGCCCAAGGACUUUCUAUUGGAAUCUCCUCUAAGUGCAGUGAGCUACGAAAUAAAUAUAAGAUAUAAGAACCUCACUAUAACUAGUGAAUUUAUAAUAUCACAUAUACAUUUGUUUCUUCUAUAACGUAAACCGCUUAUUGAAAAUGAUUCUAGAAUCAUUUUUUUGAACCAUAGACGAGGGCUAGACAGACUUAUCACUAUUAUACUGAGUUUCAUUUUUAUAAGAUAAGCUAUCUUUUUUUUUAGUUUUACGUCGGAAAAGAUAACAAUUAUUAUUCAAAUUCAAAAUUUAUAAAAAAUUAUAAUAUAAUAUUAAUUUAACAAAAACAAAUAAAAUAUAAAUACAAUAUAAAUUUGUAAAUAGAAGAAGUCUAUAAUCUAGAAAUAAAUUAAAACAAAUCUUAGGAAGAGAUCAUUUAGAUCUUUUCCUAAGAUUUGUUUUAAUUUAAAUAAUAUGAUACAUCUUUGUUUCCUGCUACGAUUCUAUACCCUAUAUAAUUUUUUUUAUCUAUUAUAGUUCCUAGCCAAAUCGAUUAUAUAAAAAGGAACUCUCUAUGAACUGGGAUAAGGUUGAAAAAAAAUUUCAAAAGCUAGUCAAUG
rnacentral:lncRNA from 1 species